CGUCUGUAGCAAUACAGAUGGCGCACGGCGCACGGGUGCGUAACACGUGGGUAAUCUGCCCCUCGAUGGGGAAUAACCUCGCGAAAGCGAGGCUAAUUCCACAUAACAUUCCUAAGACUUCGGUCCCUGGACUCAAAGCCCGCAAGGGCGUCGAUGGAGGAACCCGCGCACGAUUAGCUAGUUGGUGAGGUAACGGCUCACCAAGGCUUUGAUCGUUAGCUGGUCUGAGAGGAUGGCCAGCCACACUGGAACUGAGACACGGUCCAGGCUCCUACGGGAGGCAGCAGUGGGGAAUCUUGCGCAAUGGGCGAAAGCCUGACGCAGCGACGCCGCGUGGGGGAUGAAGGCCUUCGGG
rnacentral:rRNA from 1 species